GAUGAACGCUGGCGGCGUGCCUAAUACAUGCAAGUCGAGCGAACAGAUGAGGAGCUUGCUCCUCUGACGUUAGCGGCGGACGGGUGAGUAACACGUGGAUAACCUACCUAUCAGACUGGGAUAACUUCGGGAAACCGGAGCUAAGACCGGAUAAUAUAUUGAAUCGCAUGGUUCAAGAGUGAAAGACGGUUUUGCUGUCGCUUAAAGGUGGACCCGCGCCGCAUUAGCUAGUUGGUAAGGUAACGGCUUACCAAGGCAACGAUGCGUAGCCGACCUGAGAGGGUGAUCGGCCACACUGGAAGUGAGACACGGUCCAGACACCUACGCUAGGCAGCAGUAGGGAAUCUUCCGCAAUGCACGAAAGCCUGACGGAGCAACGCCGCGUGAAUGAUGAAGGUCUUCGGAUCGUAGAACUCUGUUAUUAGGGAAGAACAAAAGUGUAAGUAACUAUGCACGUCUUGACGGUACCUAAACAGAAAGCCACGGCUAACUACGUG
rnacentral:rRNA from 1 species